UACGUAUGGUGCAAGCGUUAUCCGGAUUUACUGGGUGUAAAGGGAGCGUAGGCGGCGCGUUAAGUCUGAUGUGAAAACCCGAGGCUCAACCACGGGAGUGCAUUGGAAACUGGCGAGCUGGAGUGCCGGAGAGGUAAGCGGAAUUCCUAGUGUAGCGGUGAAAUGCGUAGAUAUUAGGAGGAACACCAGUUGCGAAGGCGGCUCUCUGGACUGUAACUGACACUGAGGCACGAAAGCGUGGGGAGCAAACAGG
rnacentral:rRNA from 1 species